CCCUGCCAGGCUCAUCGGGAGGUAUUUCCAGGCAACAGGAGAGGAGGACAAGGCUACCGGGCACAAAGCCAAAAGACCGCAGACCCCUCAAACCCAGGGCGCCAUGACAGUGUGGGCCGCUACAGAAACAGCUCAUGGUAUUCUUCCGGGCCCAGGUAUCAGGGUGUUCCGCCACAAGCCCCAGGAAACGCCGGCGAGCGGAGUCGCCCUUACUCUGCAGGGACCAAUGGAACUGGAGCCAUCUCAGAGCCUAGCCCACCCAAGCCUUCGUUCAAAAAGGGGCUCCCACAGCGCAAACCAAGGGCCUCUCAGGCUGAAGCUGCGAACUCCUGAGGGGAAUUCCAGUUAGCCUCUCUUCUCUCCCAUCCAGUUCAACCUAAUAACUGGACUUUAGGAAAUGUAUACUUAGAUUUAAUAACAAAAAGAAAUUUAUACAUAUCUCUUUGGGCCAUCCUAAAUAUUUUUGAUUUCUUCUCUCCUUUUUUUUUUUUUUUUGAAUGAAAGCUGUUUUCCCUUGGCCUCUCCUAGUGAUAUGGACUGACUCUGGUUGGUCGUUUUCACCAGGAACCAGGGGAACUAUUGCCAGUUUUCCCAAAGGUGAGCAGCCUCCUUCCCAGCGCACCUCACCUCCAGCUGCUUACCGCAGAGGCUCCGGGAGGAAGAGUGUCUGCUAGUCCAGUCUCCAGUCCAUUCGAGCAGAUGCCACAGGUGCCUGCCAGGUUCCCACCAGUUGCCUGAGCGGGAGUAGAAAUGAGGGGUUUUAUACACUACUGGGUCAGCCAGAAAAGGGAAAUGUGCGUCAGUUCGUGAAAGAGCCCGGGGAACGCCCUCUGUCUGGAAUGUGCCUGAGGUCUGACAUCAAGUCAGGGUUUCCAUCCCACACUUGGCACCGUACCUUAACCUGCAGUUUCUUCCAAAUGCCCAAAGCCUUGUUUCCGCUUACCUUAGGCUGAAACCCGGCCUAAGGAAAUCUAUGGGAAAGUAACAUUUUAAGUUUUUUAAAAGAAAAAAUGUUUUUCUUUGUUUCAGUGUUUGGAGAUUUUUGUUGUUUGUUGUCCCUCCCUUUCCUGAAUCCUGUUAUGAACCAAUUUUAUAUAAUAUAAUUAGUGUUAAUCUAAGGUGUUACUCGGCACCGUUGUUGCGGUCAUCUUUAUAAGUGAAUAAAUAAAAGCUAGUGCAUCACGUG
rnacentral:lncRNA from 1 species